ACUCCUACGGGAGGCAGCAGGCGCGAAAACUUUACAAUGCCGGCAACGGCGAUAAGGGGACCUCGAGUGCCAGGUUACAAAUCUGGCUGUCGUGAUGCCUAAAAAGCAUUGCAUAGCAAGGGCCGGGCAAGACCGGUGCCACCCGCCGCGGCAACACCGGCGGCUCGAGUGGUAACCGUUAUUAUUGGGUCUAAAGGGUCUGUAGCCGGCCGGAUAAGUCUCUUGAGAAAUCCAGCAGCUCAACUGUUGGGCUUUCAGGAGAUACUGUUCGGCUCGAGGCCGGGAGAGGUGAGAGGUACUUCAGGGGUAGGGGUGAAAUCUUGUAAUCCUUGAAGGACCACCAGUGGCGAAGGCGUCUCACCAGAACGGACCUGACGGCAAGGGACGAAAGCUAGGGGCACGAACCGGAUUAGAUACCCGGGUAGUCCUAGCCGUAAACGAUACUCGCUAGGUGUCGGCCACGGUGCGACCGUUGUCGGUGCCGUAGGGAAGCCGUGAAGCGAGCCACCUGGGAAGUACGGCCGCAAGGCUGAAACUUAAAGGAAUUGACGG
rnacentral:rRNA from 1 species